rnacentral:rRNA from 1 species
GACGAACGCUGGCGGCGUGCUUAACACAUGCAAGUCGAACGGAAAGGCCCCUUUGGGGGUCCUCGAGUGGCGCACGGGUGAGUAACACGUGAGUAACCUGCCCUUGACUUCGGGAUAACUUCAGGAAACUGGGGCUAAUACCGGAUAGGAAUCCUUGCUGCAUGGUGGGGGUUGGAAAGCUUCGGCGGUUUUGGAUGGACUCGCGGCUUAUCAGCUUGUUGGUGGGGUAGUGGCUUACCAAGGCUUUGACGGGUAGCCGGCCUGAGAGGGCGACCGGCCACAUUGGGACUGAGAUACGGCCCAGACUCCGACGGGAGGCAGCAGUGGGGAAUAUUGCACAAUGGGCGGAAGCCUGAUGCAGCAACGCCGCGGGCGGGAUGACGGCCUUCGGGUUGUAAACCGAUUUCAGCAGGGGCGAAGCUUGUGGUGACGGUACCUGCAGAAGAAGCACCGGCUAACUACGUG